CGCGACCCCAGGUCAGGCGGGGUUACCCGCUGAAUUUAAGCAUAUC
rnacentral:rRNA from 1 species